CCUGAAUUUCGCACUCUCUCUUUAUGUUUCUGUCUGUCUCAUUUGUGUCACUGCUAGACACAGCUUUCGUCUGCAUUGCCCCUCUGCAAAUCUUUCGCCGCUUUCUGCGUCCAUUUGGGUCUUCUGAAAUUUUGGGUCUUCUCUUUCUUCGAGCUUAGACACGGUCUCUUAGGCCUGAAAGCUUACUUUUUGAUACUACCCAGUGGUUGUGCAGAUUGGGAAUUAUUACUCCCACUCAAAUAGUAGUGUUGUUGCAUUUGGAUUAGGAAUACUUCGUUGGUAUCUAUUCUCGAGGAACUAAUGGUUUCCAAAAAUUUCGUAUCUUUUUGGGUGCCCGUUUGAGAAGAUUUCACUGGGUUUCAUCCUGAAAUUAUUGGGGUUACAUGGGUUUCCCUGAUCUUAGCCGACAAUCGGUGUCACUAUUGUCGAUGGAACUCAACUGGGUGGUUGUAUUUGCCAAUCUGAAUGCUGCUGAUUAGGGGAAAAAUAAAAAGAAAGAAAAGAACCCAAAUAGUUCGAGUCUUUUAAAGUCCCUUACUAUACUUUGCAAGUAAGAGUAGGGUGGCUGACGUCAGGUUUCUUUUAUGUCUUCCAACCUCAUUUGGAUUCCAAAGGUUUCCCAGUUAAUAUACCAGAGUAUGUUGGAAGCAACAUUGGGGGGUCUGAGUGCCUUAAUUUUGAUUUAAGGCCUUUCUGAGUUUUGGUACUUUGGUUCCGCGGAUCGAUUGAUUCAUCAUCAUCGUCGUCGUCAUGCCUUUGUACGAGUUAUACCGUCUGGCUAGAGAGAAGCUUGGUACAGAGAAUAACAGCACACGUGCAUCUGAUCAAUGUUCCUCACCUGAGAAUGAUUUUUUUGAGCUAGUUUGGGAGAAUGGUCAGAUUUCUAGCCAGGGUCAGUCUAGUAAAGUUAGAAGGAGCCCAUCUUGCAGGAGUUUGCCAUCUCACUGCUUACCAUCUCACAGUCCCAAGGGUAGAGACAAAGAUGUAGGAUAUGGUGCCAACAGGAUGGGAAAAUUUAGAGAUUUAGACUCUGGUUUGAAUGAAAUUUCAAUGUCGGUGCCGUCCCGUGAAGUUGAUUUCUGUCAAGAUGAAGAUGUGUUACCUUGGUUUGAUGAUUACACAACAAUGGAUGGUUCAUUGCAACAUGACUAUGGUUCUGAUUUCCUUCCUGCCCCAACUAGCUUUACCCUAUUGGAUAAAAAAAGUAAUAGCAAUAUGGCUUUGAGGGAUUCUCAUAAAACUUCUGAAGAACAAGGGAAUGUUUUCAAGGAUUCUUCAGCUGAGCAAAUUGGAACUGCCGAACCCAAAGCUAGCACCAGUCAGUUAUACCCUCCGUCAUUGCAUCAUUGUCAAACAUCUUUUGUAUCUUCAAGAUCCAGAACAUCAGAUGUAACUGAAAAUAACAAUACUAGUAAUGGAAACCAGGAUGCCACUUAUGGCGAAAUUACCAAUUUUCUAUCUUCCUCAAGUGAUUUUUCUAGCCCAAAGGGGAAGAAGCAAGAGCCACCUCUGCCUGGCAAUGGUUCCAGUUCCACCGUAAUGAAUUUCUCCCAUUUCGCUAGGCCUGCCGCAAUGGUAAGAGCUAAUCUUCAGAACAUUGGCUUGAAGUCUGGUUUGUCUUCAGCAAGAUCAGACAGUAUGGAAAUUAAGAAUAAAGAUGCAGCGGCAACUAGCAGCAAUCCUCCUGAAUCAAUUGUUGUUGAUUCAAGUGGUGAAUGUCCAAAGGAACUGACCAUGCGCUCUCAGCAGGUUGUGGAUCAAUCCAAGACUGAUUUGAACACUUCACUGUCCAAAGCUGUUGAACAGAAGUCAGUGCUUUCUAAGCAGUCAGAGACUGCUUGUAAUGAGAGUUCCACUAAGAUUGACCAAAUUGCAGAUCAAGUUCUUGGUGACAGUGGUGCUAAAGGGCAGACAACUGCUGAAAAAAGUAUGGAGGCAGCAGUAGCCUCUUCCUCUGUUUGCUCUGGCAAUGGUGCUGACAGAGGUUCAGAUGAGCCAAAUAAAAAUUUGAAGCGAAAAAGAAAAGACACCGAUGAUUCUGAGUGCCAUAGUGAAACAUUUUACAUGAAGGAUGCUGAAGAAGAAUCAGGGGGUGUUAAAAAGGCAGCUGGAGGGCGUGGAGGUACAGGUUCCAAGAGAACCCGUGCAGCUGAAGUGCAUAAUCUAUCCGAAAGGAGGCGAAGGGACAGAAUCAACGAGAAGAUGCGUGCGUUGCAAGAACUCAUUCCAAAUUGCAAUAAGGUGGAUAAAGCCUCAAUGCUAGACGAGGCAAUUGAGUAUCUUAAAACACUUCAGCUCCAAGUUCAAAUUAUGUCAAUGGGAGCUGGUUUAUAUAUGCCUCCAAUGAUGUUACCUGCAGGAAUGCAGCACAUGCAUGCACCACAUCUGGCUCCAUUUUCACCUAUGAGUGUUGGCAUGCAUAUGGGAUAUGGUAUGGGUUAUGGGGUGGGAAUGCCUGACAUGAAUGGUGGACCUUCAAGAUUCCCUAUGAUUCAGGUGCCCCAAAUGCAAGGAAGUCAUAUCCCUGUGGCCCAUAUGUCUGGACCUACUGCUUUACAUGGGAUGGCCGGAUCAAAUCUUUCAGGGCUCGGGCUUCCUGGACAAGGACAUCCCAUGCCAAUGCCGCGGCCUACCGUGCUACCUUUUUCAGGAGGACCUGUCAUGAAUUCAUCAGCUCUGGGACUACAUGCCUGUGGAUCAUCAGGACUUGUUGGAACCGUGGAUUCAGCUUCUGCAUCUGGCUUAAAGGAUCAAAUGUCAAAUGGUGUCCCACUAGUUAAGCAAAGCUCUGGUGGCCGUGACUCAACAAGUCAGAGGCCUACACAGAGUGAAAGCAUCUGUUGUUGGAUUUGAGCAAUCUGCUUUGGUUCAUAAUAGCGGUCAUACCUCUGAGGCUAAUGACAAUGGAGCUCUUAAUCCUUGUCCCAGCAGAUAACGUUAUGUCUGGUUAUGAUCCAUAAUAAUACCGUGCCUGAUUGAAGUUUUAGAAAAUGUGAGUCUUAAUCUUCCCGCAGAUUACCAUACAGGAUACUUCAGAGUCAUUGAGGUUAACCCCAUUACAAUAACUACUGACUGAAUCCUAAUUUCCGGACUUACGAAAUUGCACGGAUUUUGUAAUAUCUUAAGAGGUGCAACUCAUUUGUACAUCCAUUUAGCAACCUGUUCAAUCAAUUGGCGUAGAAAUUUGAUAUAUUAUUACAAAUAUGUAUUCAAGUGUUUGAUCAUAUCUAUCAUAGCGAUUCUUUGGUUUAAUGAAAUAAUAGAUUUUUUUUCUUUGCCUUUGGCA